rnacentral:lncRNA from 1 species
AAGUGCAAGUAUAUAAAUGCAGACAUACAAGUGCCGCUUAAUUUCGUGCGAAACCAAGGAGCAAAACAAAUUCCAACAACAGAUGAAACAUAGAACUUUACUGCAAGUGGGCAGCAGUGCCCAAUUUUGGAACACUCUUCCACUUAUUGUUUUGCAAUACAGUAGAAUAACACUAAAUUACAAAGCUACGGGCAUAUUAGCAAAUUUACGAAAUUAAUGAUAUUUGUAUUAAUUUCAGUAAAUGUAUAAGUAGUGGAUGAAAUAAUGAGUUUAAAGAAAAUCCCACUGAUACCGACCUUGCACAAGUAUUGAAUGUCCUAGUCUGCUAAUAUUGAAUGCAUGCUUGUGAAGUUGCAAGCAAAGUGCAGAAAACUAUAAAGAGAAGUGAUCCUGCUUUAAAAAGAAAGUCUGCAAAUCUGAGUGCUGCACGAAGUCAAAACUGGGGAUCCUAGUGCCAUAUAAAUUUUUAUGCAUUUCCCUGACAGACUCGAGCAGAUGGUUUGAGACAAACACAUAAAGGGGAGCUUCAAGUCAG